AUCAUGGUAAUUUCAUUAUACCUUAACAUCGAUCGCUUUAUCUCUGCAACCCAAUUCAUCUCAAAACCCUUACACCAAACCCACCAUCAUCAUCACCGCUCCACCAUCCAUCUCCGGCACCACCAAAUCCGGCCACUUCUCCACACUCACCCUUUCCCCCACACUUAUUUCGCCAAAAACCCCGCUUUCCAACAGAGACCGUCAUCGUCUCCGGUCUUACCGCCAUCGCCAAACGGCGGAUUCGACAUGUCAAACUGUUUUCGGAGAGAAAGAGAGAGAGAGAGACCAGGUGGUACGGCACCACCACCGGAAACAUUCCCAACAGAGGCUGUCAUCAUCUCCGGUCUUACGGCCAUCACCAAACGGCGGAUUCGACAUGUCAAACUGUUUUCAGAGAGAAAGAGAGAGAGACAGAGAUACCAGGUGGUACGGCACCACCACCGGAAACACCGCCAUCAUCUCCAAUCGCACCACCACCGCUAAUAUGUGUUUAAAAACUGUCUAGGGUUUGCAUGACGGAGCCUGAUGAUUCAAUUGUAAAGAAGCCUAAACAUGAUCAGGUUUGGCUAGCUGCUGAUCAAUUUCUUGGAUAGAACCAGCAUAAUUGACUCAAUUCAUAUGUGGCCUCAGGAUGUAUGGUAGCCACUUCGAGCAGUGUCCGCCGCAUGUUCACAUCCGCUGGGAACUCGCUAAGACCCGUAUGAAUCCGUGUUCAGUUUCUUCCUUUUUUUACUACAAUUUUACUUUAGAUUUGUUCGACGUGUCUUUUACUUUAGAUGAUCACGUUUUUUGGUGGGGGAUUUACUCUAUAGGUUUGUUUUUACUUUUUUUUUUUCAGUUACGAUAAUCACCUCAUUAUAGGUUCGCUUUGAGGUUUAUAAGGACUGUCUUCCACUACCCGGGAGUUUAUUUAAGAUGGUUAUUGAGGAGGUUUCAUGAGGAAAAUACUAACAUGUUCAAGACUGAGUUAACUUUUGAUCAAUUGAGCCCCUCUCUGCAUUUGCUUUCUUUUUAUGUGAAACGUUUCUAUCAUUAGUUGUUAAACAAAUUUAGUGGGAAGGAAACCUUCUUCAGGGAGACGUUUGACAAAGACAUCACACAACUAAAGAAAGCAAGAGAUGAGCGGAGGCACAGAGAAGAUAAGGCUAAGAUAGAUAUAAAGAGGACAUAAUCAUCAAGAAGGGACAAGGAUAAUAAAGGUAUAAAUGAUAAAAGCGAAGGGAUUCUCACGGACAUAGCGCUUAACGUAAAAAGACAAAAUAGUUGGAGCAACAGUCAUCGGUGUUGGCAGAAUAUGAGAGCAGAAAUAAGAGACACAAGAGAGAUCACAGGCAUGAUGAUUAGAGAGUAGAUGAAAAUCAGACGUGAAGUUUUCCCUACAUAAUUGCUUUUUUGUAGAUAGUUUCAGCUUCUUAAUAUUGUUGCCUUUUGUAUAUAGAAUUUGCUUUUUGUGGCGAGUUUUUAAAAAGGUUAUUAAAUUAGUCAUAGGUAGCUGCAGUUAGGCUUGGCCAGAAUUAUGCGGCCACUUGCAAGGUAUUUAGUCUCUUUCAAAGUGAAUGGGGAAGACAUGUAAUGGGUGAAAACCACUUCGGUUUAAUUAGUUUGACCCGUUUCUUUUCAAUAAAAAGUUUCUUAAUUUUGUUCGUUUGACCCGUGUGGCAAUAUAAUACGCUCCAUGGUUCCAUAUUCACAUAACUUGGCGGAAACUGGGCUUUCUAAAUAAGGAAAUUCACAUAAGUUAUGUGAAACCAUAGUUUCCGCCAAGUUAUGUGAACAUUGAGUUUUAUUGAUUAUGGUGGAUUAAAGGUUUCAUAGAUUUGCAACAUUGAUGCUGCAUCAAGAUUUGAAUUUUGUAAAGAAGGGGUCUGCUAAAGACUAAAGAGAUAGGCUGCAUUUCAUCCCAUCGCGCAAACCGCUGGCCUUGGUGAGAAAGCAUAAGAAAUUUUUGAAGAAUCGGUUUCUCCUAUCUUAGAGGCUUGAGAUCCUGUUCUGAAGCAUCAAAGACAACAUCAGUAUAUCUACGCUUACUGAUGUCACCGUUUCAGCUUACAAUUUAGUUGUUAUGAGUUUGUCCCUUUUAAAUCUUUUUAAGAGAUGAUGUAUUGAUAUUGAAGUAAUAGCGAUACUCAUUGUUAGAUGAUGAUCAACGUGUAUGCAGUAUUGAUUUCACUUUUGGGUUAAAUCACAGGUGGCACCUUCCAUUGUUAAAUGAUC